UGCUGCUUUCCGGUAACGGCGGCGGUGAGACGGCAGUGAGUCUACCUCCCGGCUGUAGAUCUUGUUUUGUUGAGAGCGGCGAGCCGGCGAACCACUAUAUUUUUAGGGUUAGGAGCACUCCGCUCCGGCGAACAUGGUGUUCUCGAUGCAGCCGGUCAACAGGUUCGGAUCUGGUCCUGGGUGUGGUUGUUCGUCCGUGUUUUGGGUGGAGAUUUUCUAAAGAUCUGCUGCCCUUGGUCGGGCCCCGAACCAUAAUAGAAGGUCAGCAAUGGAGAAAUCAAUCCGAAGGUUUGCCGGCGCACCAUCAGCAAUCUGGCCGGCGGGGUUCCCCUGUGCGCGGACAAAUUCGCCCGGUAGUAAUCAUGUCUAACUCCGGCAGUUGCGACGUAGUUGGAGCCGGUGUAGAAGUUACAACACAAGACCCGGAGCACUCAUCAUCUGAAAAUGAAGCACAGGCGCCUCCGACACCCACAUCCAGAAUUUCAAUUUUCUUUCUCGACAACAUUGACUUAGGGAUGUUCAACAAGAAGCAUGAUGUCCUUCAUCAGAUCAGCGCCUUCGAUCAGACCAACAUUAGAAGGAUGAUAACUAUGGCAACUGACAUUGGGACGAGCGUCACAUCAUAUUCGAAUUCCAAGCUCCGACCAGAUGCGGAUGUAUGCUAUGCCCGCCGCAAGCAACCAGAAUGCACUGAGAAAAUAAAUAACCAACCAGCAGACGUCACCAAUCAAAAUCAAAGCCCUGAGCAUCACACAGAAGCAAGGUUAGGUGCAGUGCAUGCAUCGUCAUCAUCAGCAGCUCUAUCAUGGAUGUCAGGACACCACACCGUGUCCUCGAUCCAAUCGACUUUGCAAAGCACAUUCCCAGCCGAUACCCAAGUUUGGUAAUAGAUGAGAUAACUAUUCUACUGAAGGAGCAAAAUGCUAGGUGCCAGCACAAACUCAGUACUGCGCGGGCUAAUGCACAGGCCGACAUGAUCAAGUUCGGCGAUAAACUCAUGGCUGUACUUAGCAACAGGGGACAUAACGAGGACUCCUCCAGGCCCUAAAAUACCUGUUGUCAGGCUUGAUAUGUCUGGAUGCAGAAGUGAGUAUCAGCUAUAUUAAUAUGCUGAGCGAUUGAAUGUGCAUGACCGAACUCCCCAGUAUUAACACUGCUUUGAAUUGUUUAGGUGACACUAACAUAAACACUGCGACUAACAGGUUGGCAGCACCUAAAUAUAAGCAGGGGCAACUUGUCGACCAAUGAGCCUGCCUAAUUGAAACGUGCCUGACCCCUCCAUGGUUGUGGCUCCAGUCGACCAUUUCGUGCCAGCUCACCUGCACGAAUCCAUUGCUUGUUUGCUUGGCUGGACGAGCUCUUCGGUUCAGAUAAGAUAUCGGAUGGGGUUGGCACGGACUGGCUGCUGAAUUGCUGAUCCAUGCCAAAAUGGUUACUAAGCUCAGCACGACACUCCUUGCUCGACCUCAUGUAUCCACACAGACCAAUCUUCUAUAGAAAAAAUUAGAAAAGCAUAAGACAAAUUUAGGAACCGAUCCAUGCGCAUGAGUAACUAUAUGACUAGAAUUUACAUCUUGUUUUUGAUGAUAAAUCUUACAUCUUUAUUCAUGUACUUGUAGAACCGAUGACCAACGUUCGAUCCACCAUGAGCAAUCCAGGUGACGAUCUGCACGCCGCAGUCAGUGCAUGGAAUGAGCGGCGAAAUCUCCUUUAGGCUGACGGACGACGAUGAUGCAGACAUGGUGGAUAAGGGAUGUGGGUGGUGGCACUAGCUCCGGUGGGGAUAGGAUGCACCGGCAGACCUGGGAGGGCUUCCAGUCGAAUCACAAGAUUAUGAAGAUGACUAGCUUGUUGGGGGAAGACUGGUAGCUCCAACGGGAGGACACAAUAAAUGAAUGCGGUGACGGUGUUAGUCUAUAAUCUGGAUCGGAACGGCUCAUAUCGUUUCUCUCCAUGUGGGCCGCAUGAAGCAUGCCUGACGGUGUAAUGGAAGCUGCAUCUGUGUUGUGGGCCAUGAGCCAUAAUAAAAUAAGAAAUACAUAAAUUAUAGCUGAUCCUAUAUGCCAGCAGUGUGCAUCACGAGACAAGCUAGGGGUGCAGAUAACGAGAUCACUGCCGCUCGGGCUCACAA